AGGGUUUUAAGUUAAUAAAAACUAGAAGCCUUCAAAGUUCCCAAUAAGAGUUAUACUCUCUUAAACCCUA
rnacentral:tRNA from 1 species